rnacentral:rRNA from 1 species
UGGACGGGACGGAAGAGAGAAUGCAGGCAUGAGUAACGAAAAGACGGGUGAGAUCCCCGUCCGCCGAAAGCCUAAGGUUUCCAGGGUAAAGUCAAUCUACCCAAGGGUCAGUCGGCCCCUAAGGCGAGGGCGAGAGCCGUAGCCGAUGGGAAGCGGGUCAACAUUCCCGCACCUCCCAGGGUUCCGAUGGGAUGACGCAUAGGGCGAAACGCAGCCGGGCGACGGUAGUCCCGGCCGAAACGGCGAGCCGAUGAGGCACCCAGGCAAAUCCGGGUGCUGAGGUGAGCCGCGAGCGAGCUGCACUACGGUGGAGCGAAGUGCGCGUAGUCGUCGUGCCGAGAAACAAUCCCUAAGGAACGGCCCUGGGGGACCGUACUACAAACCGACACAGGUGGGCGAGCUGAGAAUGCGCAGGCGCACGGAAGAAUUCGCGUUAAGGAACUCGGCAAAAUGCAUACGUAACUUCGGGAUAAGUAUGGCCCCCGCGAGGGGGUUGCAGAGAAACGGCCCAUGCGACUGUUUACCAAAAACACAGGUCCAUGCGAACCGGCAACGGGAAGUAUAUGGACUGACACCUGCCCGGUGCUGGAAGGUCAAGAGGAGUUGUCAGAGCAAUCGAAGCAGCGAAUCCAAGCCCCAGUAAACGGCGGCCGUAACUAUAACGGUCCUAAGGUAGCGAAAUUCCUUGUCGGGUAAGUUCCGACCCGCACGAAUGGUGUAACGAUAUGGGCGCUGUCUCAACGCGAAAUCCGGUGAAAUUGAAGUCCAGGUGAAGAUGCCUGGUACCCGUGGUUAGACGGAAAGACCCCGUGAACCUUUACUUCAACUUGGCAUGGAGACUUGGACAGGGAUGUGUAGGAUAGGUGGGAGGCCGCGAGGCGUGGGCGUCAGCCUGCGCGGAGCCGCUGGUGAAAUACCACCCUUGCCUGUCCAAUUUUCUAACCGCGGCCGUGAUCCGGUCGCGGGACAGUGCCAGGCGGGAAGUUUGACUGGGGCGGUCGCCUCCCAAAGAGUAACGGAGGCGCGCGAAGGUCACCUUAGGAUGGUUGGGAAUCAUCCGGCAAGUGUAAAGGCACAAGGUGGCUUGACUGCGAGGCAAACAAGCCGAGCAGGUACGAAAGUAGGUCUUAGUGAUCUGGCGGUAGCGAGUGGAAGCGCCGUCACUUAACGGAUAAAAGGUACUCCGGGGAUAACAGGCUGAUCUUGCCCAAGAGUUCAUAUCGACGGCAAGGUUUGGCACCUCGAUGUCGGCUCAUCGCAUCCUGGGGCUGGAGCAGGUCCCAAGGGUUUGGCUGUUCGCCAAUUAAAGCGGUACGCGAGCUGGGUUCAGAACGUCGUGAGACAGUUCGGUCCCUAUCUGCCAUGGGCGUUGGAUGUUUGAGGGGUUCUGCUUUUAGUACGAGAGGACCGAAGUGGACGAACCUCUGGUGUACCGGUUGUCGUGCCAACGGCAGCUGCCGGGUAGCCACGUUCGGAAGGGAUAACCGCUGAAAGCAUCUAAGCGGGAAGCCCUCCCCAAGAUGAGACAUCCCACCCGCACAAGCGGGCACAAGGAAACAGGGAGACUACCUGUUCGAUAGGCCGGGGGUGUACGCACGGCAACGUGUUCAGCCCACCGGUACUAAUCAUCCGAGAGGCUUGACC